CUUGAAGAGAGGGUGAGCAAAUGCCCUAAAGCAGCAUUUGAAUUCUUUCCAGUUUGAGGCUAUUAUGAACAGCACUGCUACGAACCUUCUUGUACAUGGCUUUUGAUCCACGUGCCUCUCGUCUGAGAAGAUGACUGUGAUUCAUCCUUUCCUCUCUGAAUUGCUCCUUACAACUUGAACAGAAAGCCAGGGAUCAUUAUAUUUUGGUUCUUAUGAUAAUAUUUUAAGGGGAGAAGAAUUUUAACUAACUUGUAUAUUCUAGACGUGAGUGCUUCUGGCUGUGUAAUGCGGGACGCUGCCUCAGCAUGGCCUAAUGAGCGGUGCCACGUCCACUCCCAGGAUCCGAACCAACGAAACCCUGGACCACGGAAGCAGAGCGCGCCAACUUAACCACUCGGCCACGGGGCCGGCCCCCCUCCUUCUUGAAAAUAAAGUACUUUGAUUAUUGCAGUCAUGUCUUCCUUCCCCUUCACUCUUUGCUUCCUCCCUACAACCAAACAGAACAAAAUGGCUAUUGGAAUGAAUGCCUGGACUGUUUCUUCUCCCACCUGUAGACAUUACCACCUGGGUGGGUGGGGCCCCUUGUUCCUUUGCCUCCUUUCCCUAGCUCCCUACUGAAAGAACACAGGUGCAGUUACCGAUAGAUUAUUCAUUGGGAUGCACCGGCCAGUCCUUCAUUUACUAAAGUAGAACAGGUUCCUCAAGCAAGGCCUUAGCUGAGUUGGUGAGGGACUCAGCCUCUUUCUGGCAGCUCCACUGACUCAGGGAAGGCAUCUUGCUGCCUCGAUGCCUGGUUGGUAAUGGAGCCUGGAAAAUCCAUGCAUGUGCAGCUCAAGUUCUCCAACAGUCUGCUCUCUGUGGUACUUUGGGCUUGAGGGGCUUGACUGGAGAACCUGGACUAUUCCUGUGGAUGCCUUAGGGGAGAGCAAGACAAGGUGUAAAGCAUUUCCACUACUCCGGAAGGUUCCUGGGGGUUCCUGUUUCUAAUUGGCCUAGAUACCAUAUAGGCUCUUGGUGGUCCUAAAAUUAACAGAGGCCUCCAGUUUCAGAGAGAAUCACAACAAAACAGUGUGGUACUGGUGACCCCCAUCCCUAACAGAGGGUCACCAGCCACAGAGCAGAUUUCUUAAGCCUUCUUGGUCCCUUUCCAAACCACAGCAAGAGAACUAAGCUCUGAGAAGGGAGGGGCCGGCAGUAUCGGAGUCAGGUCCCAUCCCCCACACUAAAACCACACACAGACAUUCCAAGCCUACCCCAGGGAAGCAGAGAAGAGCUUUGAAUCCCUUCUGAUAUUAGUUUGGACAAAUUUUAAUAACUAAAAUGACCUUAGAGAUAUCAAAUCUGUCUAAUACUAAGAUGGAAAGGAUGAGUUGACAGAACGUGGUUGAAAGCAGUGCUUAAAAAAUAUAUCAAGCCAUUUUCUUAUAUUUCCUUCUUCACGUUGAGGCUCCUCAAAUAAACUGGUUGCUGAAAAUGUAUAGUAGUUUAGUUUCUGUAAAUUUUAAAUGUAGAGACUAAACAACACUACAGAGAGAAAAAGAAAUGGGCAAAAAGCUUCAACUUUUUCUAGUUCUCUCCCAGAGGGUGUUCCUUUUUAUGGAUAGAGACUAGGUGUUUUAUGUGGGGUCCUGACACCAGCAGUGCCCAAGCUGCAGGCUCUGAUCAGCCCCUCUGCCUCUCUAGUCUCAGCUUCCUUGUCCAUCAGAUGCCCCACAGUACUGGCCCCCCAGCUGCUCCCAAUUUUCCCUUGACUUGCUUGUGAAUGAUUCACAAGCUGAUCUUUUAUAGGGGCCAGAGCAGCUGAAACACAUGAAAUGUAGAUUAAACACAACUCAAAUAGUUACCCCACAUAAAACACCAGUUACAUAAGCAAAGAGAGUCUUUCACUCCAGGGUUUGUGUGUUACUCUGGAAGUCAGACUAAAUCUCUCCCAAAGUGGAGAUACUGGAUAGACAUUGAUGCUGCAGCAGGAGCCUGAUGUGGUGGCUGUGGGAUGGGUCACCUGGGCCCCCUGAAGUCUCCGCCCCCUUGAUGCUGGCAGCCAGCAGCUGGCUUUUCCACCGCAGCUCUUUUGCCAUCCCAGUAUUAAAGAAAGAGAGAGGAAAUACACCAAAUCUCCUAUUGAAGUAGAUACUUAUGGCUUCUUUUUCUUCCCCUUAAAAUGUUUCUAAAAAGUUAAGUAUAUCAAAUGUACAAUAAAUACAGAUAAAAAUAUAACAGCACACAUUUACCUAUAUGCAGGUUUUAAAGUUGUUAACAUUUGGCCACAUUUGUUUCAGAUUAAAAAAUAACAAUAAAAAAGAAAGGAAGGAAGGAAGGAGAAAGAAACAAAGGAAAACAUUUUAGUUGCAGUUGAAAUGCCUCCCCAACCUCUCCCCAAAGUUAAUCCUUCUACUCAGAAUGUUCUGUGCUAUGUUGUGCUGCGUUUUAAUUCCACAAAGAACCCCGUGGGCACUGACCAGCCCGGCUCCCACUCUCCAGAGCACCUUACACAGGGCACCCACUCUUCCACUGCAUUAUCGUGCUGUUCUGGAGAGAACAAUUCGGUCUUUGUUGUGCUGCUGAGGAUCCCCGGCCAGGCCCCGUGAGUGGAUGCAGGUUUCUAGAGAAUUGGGCACCCGUGGGCACCAUGGUGACUGUCCUCUCCUUUCAAGACGCCUGUGGAUUUCAGCAGCUUUCCUUAAUGAGUCGGCUCUUCAGAAAAGUUCUGAAUUUGUUUGAUGUCCUGAAGCACUUGUGGUUCUUUGUCUAAAAAUGUAGACAUUCUCUAAGCAUGCUUUUCAUCCCGUGAAUGAAUCUCUUUCUGUGUCCUGGCCUCUAACACCCUAAAGUUCAGAGGCAUACAAGUAAAAAGGGGCAUUUGUACGAGAAAACGAAGAUUUCAGGACACAGAGUUUUUUGACUGUUGGUGACCUUUCGUGACAUUUUCCCUCAACAUAUUACCAUUUGUUCAUCCACUUAUUCACGCAGUCACAGACAUUAAUUAAACCACAACUAUAUGCAAGAGACUUUGCUGGGCACUGUGUGGGACGCAGGGGUCCCUGGGAGGGAGCAGACCAGAGUGGCUGAGAGCUCGAGUUUGGGAAUCAGAACACUUGUUGGCUUUGCCUCUUCUGGGCUGGGUGAUCUUGAGCAAAUCACUUAAUCUCCCUCUCUCGGAUUCCACAUCUGAAACAUCAGAAUCUACUUUAUAGGGUUAUUGUGAGAAUUUAUUGAGAUUUGCUGGCCAAGCAUCUUCUAAUCACUCAUUCGAUAUUCACUUAAAAAAGAGAGCAACUUGUAGUCUAGAAUGGAAACAAGACAUUUAUGCAGAUAAUUAUAUCAUAUGUGGUAAAGAACAGUAAACGCCAUGAGAAUUAAAAAGGAGGGUGGAUUAACAGAGGAAGUAGCAGUAGCUAAUCUAACAAAAAAGCCCCAAGCCUGUGGUUUAAUGCAACAGGUAUGGCUUUUUGGGUACCUCUCUUCCAAGUAACUCAGAGAUCCUAGCUCCUUCCAUCUUGAGGCCUUCUAGAGCUUCAGAAUCAUUCACUUCGACGUACAUGAGGGGGAAAAAAGAUAGUGUGUGUGAAAUAUUGCUUGGGAUGUUUUGUAGCUAGGCCUGUAUAUUAGUUAUCUAUUGUAGUGUAACAAAUGGCCCCAAACUUAGCAGCUUAAAACAGCCCAUCGUUUCUGUGGGUCAGGAAUCUUAGAGUGGCUUAGCUGGGUGGUUGUAGCUUUGGGUCUCUCAUGAGCCUGCAAUCAAGAUUUGGCUGGGCUGCAGUCAUCUGAAGGCUUGAGUGAGGUUGGAAGAUCCUCUUCCAAGAAGGCUCACCCACAUGGCUAUUGGCAGAAGGUCUCAGUUCUUUGCUGGCUGUUGGCAGGAGACCUUGGUUCCUUGCCAUGUGGACCUCUCCAUUGGGAUGUUUGAGUGUCCUUACAACAUGGCAGCCAGCAUCCCCCAGAACCAGUGAUCUAAGAGAGAGGGAGAGCAAGGAGGAAGCUCUAAUGCCUUUUAAUUUGUAGUCUCAGAAAUCACAUGCAGCCACUCCCACUGUAUUUGUUCAUUAGAAGAGAAUGACUAAGUCUAACCCACACUCAAGGGGAGAGGAAUUAAGCUCCAAUUCUUGAAAGGAGGAGUAUCAAAGAAUUUGUGGACCAAAUGUAUAUUGAACACAGAGCUCCUGAGACCCUUGGAAUUUCCUAAGUGAUAAGAGCAGAUAAAGGUGAAAGGAUUUGAUUAUUUAUAAGAAGCCCUUUUCAACCACACCUGAGUUUAUUUUAAUGAGAUGACUUUUGGAAAGUCCCUGAGGAUGGGAGGCUGGUUGCCAGGGGAACCAACCAUGUGAUUAAAGGGUUGGAACUCUCAGCCCCACUCCCUGCAACCUCCAGUGAGGGAAGAGGGACUGAGGUUGAGUUAAUCACCAAUCAUGCCUACAUGAUGACAUCUCCAUAAAGAUCCCUCAAGAAUGGGGUUCAGAGAGCUUCCUGGUUGGUGAAUGCGUCCGCGUGCCAGGACCGCGGUACACCCCAAAUCCACAGGGACAGAGGCUCUCAUGCUUGGCACCCUCCACACCUCGACCUUUUAUCUCUUCAUCUGGCUGUUCAUCUAUAUCCUUUAUCAUCUUCUUUGUAAUAUAAUAAACUGGUAAAUGUAAGUAAAUGUUUCCCUGAAUUCUAUGAGCCAUUCUAGUAAAUUAUCGAAC
rnacentral:lncRNA from 1 species